AGCAGUAGCCGCGGGAAUACAGAGGGUGCAAGCGUUAAUCGGAAUUACUGGGCGUAAAGCGCGCGUAGGUGGUUUGUUAAGUUGGAUGUGAAAUCCCCGGGCUCAACCUGGGAACUGCAUCCAAAACUGGCAAGCUAGAGUAUGGUAGAGGGUGGUGGAAUUUCCUGUGUAGCGGUGAAAUGCGUAGAUAUAGGAAGGAACACCAGUGGCGAAGGCGACCACCUGGACUGAUACUGACACUGAGGUGCGAAAGCGUGGGGAGCAAACAGGAUUAGAUACCCGCGUAGUCCCUGUCUCUUAUAC
rnacentral:rRNA from 1 species